rnacentral:misc_RNA from 1 species
UCCGGUUUGUCACCGGCAGUCUCAUUAGAGUGCCCUUUCGUAGCAACUAAUGACAAGGGUUGCGCUCGUUGCGGGACUUAACCCAACAUCUCACGACACGAGCUGACGACGGCCAUGCACCACCUGUGAACCGGCCGCAAGCGGGGCGCCUGUUUCCAGGCGUUACCGGUCCAUGUCAAGCCUUGGUAAGGUUCUUCGCGUUGCAUCGAAUUAAUCCGCAUGCUCCGCCGCUUGUGCGGGCCCCCGUCAAUUUCUUUGAGUUUUAAUCUUGCGACCGUACUCCCCAGGCGGAAUGCUUAAAGCGUUAGCUGCGCCACUGACGAGCAAGCUCGCCAACGGCUGGCAUUCAUCGUUUACGGCGUGGACUAC